rnacentral:lncRNA from 1 species
UUUUUUUUUUUUUUGCUUUGGCAGUUUGGCUCGUGGAGCUGAUGCUGUUUUGGGAAAAUGUAAGGACUAAAUGAAUAUUGGAUACAGAUAUCAAUACAAGUAUCGGCAUCAUUUGGGAUGAACUUUCGGUAUAAGUAUAACAACUUCUCACACUUCUACUACUAUGAAUCAUAGUAGCCGCCUCUAUAAAUCCGAUUUCUAGCAAUGGCUUUGGAGUAGGAGCCCCUCUAGAAAUUGUUGUCCAAAUAUUAUAAAUCUGGUUCAAAAAAUAGCAAAAAGAAGUUUUAAUUCAACAUCGUAUUCAAUACAGGUCAGCUCUGCUCCAAUCAUACAAUAAUGUUAGCUGCAAUACGGUUACACUGUUGCAUUAGUCAAUAUGCUGCAUGAUUUUUUUUUGUUUUAGAAAGAGUGUGUGUGAUAUUUUUGAACAGCUAUUUCCUUUUGAACUAACGGCACAAUAUAAUAUUAUUUAAUAAAGUAGGAAUAAAUAUAGUUUUUUUUUUUGACUAGUGGAAUAAAUAUAGGUUGAUGGCCUCAUCAAAGAGACUCAGGGUGAGGUGGGCCACGCGCAGAUUGCUAACGAGCUUAGGCCCUGUUUAAAUUGGAGAUGAAAAUUUUUUGGAUGUCACAUCGGAUAUGUCGGAAGCAUGUCGGGAGGGGUUUUUAGAAACUAAUAAAAAAACAAAUUACAUAGCUCGCCAGGAAACUGCAAGACAAAUCUAUUAAGCAUAAUUAAUCUAUCAUUAGCACAUAUGGGUUACUGUAGCACUUAAAGCUAAUCAUGAAGUAACUAGGCUUAAAAGAUUCGUCUCGUGAUUUUCAACCAAACUGUGUAAUUAGUUUAUUUUUUUAUGUACAUUUAAUGUUUCAUGGAUGUGUCCAAAGAUUCGAUGGGAUGGAUGAAAAAAUUUUGGAUGGAGAACUGCCUUAAUCAGUUUACGAAGAUGGGCUUUUUUGGACCGUCCCCUAAAACGGAUUGCCUUGGAAGACAAUAAUUUUUUUUCUAUCUCUAGAACAAAUGGUCUGUCGGUCUGUCUCUUGAAAUAUUCUUUUUAGUAGUGAAAGAAGACCCCAAUCCAUUAUUGCAAGAUAUUUCCCGGCAGCAAAUUAUAUUAGCUAGAAACUACGUAUACACUGCUUGUUUUUUCAUUUGUAUUUCACUGUACAUACGUACUCGUACGGUCGUGCCUAAUUAACACAAAACAAAGUACAAGUUCCACUAAAUAAGAGGCCAUGCUCGUGCUUGCCUACAAGUGCAGUUGGUGUGCCUGUGGAAGGAGUAGACUUCAUAUUUCCAUAAUAAAAAAACACAGAAAAAAAUAAAGGCCUUUUUUAAUUCCUUUUUUUUUGAAAUUUGGCUACCGUAACAUUUUCGUUUUAUUUGACAAAUAGUAUCCAAUCAUGAACUAAGCCCUUGUUUAGGAACUUUUUGAAUUUUGACACUGUAGCACUUUCAUUUUUAUUUGACAAACAUUGUCUAAUCAUAGAGUAAUUAGACUUAAAAGAUUUGUAUCGUGACUUACAGGUAAACUGUAUAAUUAGUUGUCUUUUUUAUUUAUAUUUAAUGUUCCAUGUAUGUGCCGCAAGAUUCGAUGUGAUGUGGAAUCUUGUAAAGUUUUGGGUUUUUGGAUGCAUCUAAACAAGACCUAAUUAGCCUUAAAAGAUUCGUUUUGUGAUUAUAGAUAAACUGUAUAAUUAGUUUUUAUUUUUAUCUAUAUUUAAUGUUUCAUGCACUUGUUCAAAGCGAGCAUAUUUUCUUCGAAGUACACAAAUGGACCCCCAUAGUGCGUGUACGUUAGCUAGGCGCGGCUGUGCUUGAAGGUCGCAGUAGUAUAAUUACCUGAUGAUCCGGGCCGGGCGGCAAAUCCACUACUCCAGAGCUCCAGAAACUCCAUCUCAAGGUGCCCUUGCUGUUUCUCCAAAGCACAACACACCAGCAGCGCGCAUCCAUGGCGUCUAACAAUAAUCAGGCGACGAUACGACACUUUGCCGACCCCCACCCGCUUGGGCAGACGCAGUACCGCCAUGACGAGGCUGGUCUGUGCAACAUCUGCCUGCUCAAACUCGGCGGGCUCCGCAGUCGUCUCACCUACGGCUGCUACACCUGCAACAUCCACCUCCACAGCGCGUGCGCCCGUUACUUCCCGGAGACCAUCUCCUUCUUCGCGCAUCCGGCGCACACCCUGAAUCUCAGGCGCAGCCCUGCUGGUGGACGGGUGUGCGAAAUCUGCAGAGGGGACUGCCCCCCUCAAGGGAGCUUCGUGUACAGCUGCACCGCCGGCUGCGGCUUCGACGUGCACCCUCUCUGCUCGAUGCUCCCAGAGAGCGUUGCUAGCCCUUUGGACCCAAGCCAUCAGCUCUGCAUAUUCUCGUCAGAGUCGCCCGGGAGCGGGAGCUGCUCGGCCUGCCACCAUCCUUUACCCAGGUGGCACUACAUCGGCUCUUCCCUCAAACUACACAUCGCGUGUGCCACCGGUGCCGCCGGCCAGGGUAGCAAUAGCAACGGCGGCGGCCAUGCUGCCGUCGUCCAGCAAGGUAGCCAAUAUGGCACUGUUAGGCAGCGCAGCUUAUUUGGUGCCCCUGCUCCCGGCCCUGCAGGCUACAACUACAACCCGGUCAUCCAGGGCUACGGCCAGGCGGGCAGCUACUACUACGUCCAUCCCAUCCAUGGCAAUGGCAUCUACUACUACGGCGGCCCUGCUAUGCCCAGCGGCGGCGGCUACUACGGUGCUAGCGGCGGUGGACAGCAGAGCAUUUUCCAGAACCCGAGCAACCUGAUGAGUGGCAUAGCCAGGUUUCUCUUCAGCGCCGCGAUCAGCGCGGCAGCCAGCGACCUGUUAUCCGAGCUUCUGUCCGCGAGCUUCAGCUGAAUUCCAUGUCUCAUAGCCAUGGCAUGCUGCCGCCGGUGUACUCUGCGCCGGCCCACGAUCCCAAUGAGUGUACACGUGUGCGUGCUGCAAGCUGCAGAUGAUCGGCACGUACUAAUAUACUCCCUCCAUCCCAAAUUGUAAGUCAUUCUAAAAAUCUUGGAGAGUCAAACUUUUCUAAGUUUGACUAAACUUAUAUUAAAAAAUUAUUAUUAUUAUUAUGAUACCAACUAAGUAUCAUUAGAUUCUUCAUUAAUUAUAUUUUCAUAGUAUACUCACUUUACGUUACAAAUUUUAAUAUUUCUCUUUAUAAUUUUGGUCAAACGUGAAAAUGCUUUGACUCUCCAAGAUUUUUGGAAUGACUUACAAUUUGGGAUGGAGGGAGUACUUUCUUUUUCCUCUAUGCGUGUGUAUGCACUAAUGCACAUGCAUGUGAGGCGCUGCAAUAAGCGCUCAGACUGUGCUUGGAUCAAUUUCAGUUUUGGGCUGUAUUUCUUGUGUCGUCGUCCAUGAGUUAGUCUUCGUCAUUGUUCAUCAGUUGUUGUCAAUUGUCAUGUGUGUGUGAUGCAGUUUAGUUUUCAUGAGUCGUUAUUUAGGGAUGUUAUUGCUUGGAAUUGAUAGUAAACUACUCGUCACAGACACAGAUUCAUUUUCAGGCGUACGUGGAUUAAAUUUUUACGUCUGUGAUAAAUGUUAGGCCGUGUGUCUAUAAUAAAUUUUGAUUGACACACAUUGUGCUGCAGCCUGCAGCUGGUGUAUACGCUCGUAUUCUGCAGUAGUUGUUGAGUAUCGUACAGUACUAGUAGUACUAUUUACUCUGUUGUGUUGUGCCUCUCUCGCUCCUUCUAUACGUAGGAUUAUACUUCUUACCGUGAAGGGGCUGCAGCUAUGUAGCACUAGCACUAUAUAUACCUCAGUUCAGAAAAUACCUCAGCUGGCAAAAGAAUGCAAUUCUCAUUUUUUUUAGAAUUAGUCCGUUUAAACUUUGACUAAAUUUACAUAAAAAACUAUUAUCAUUCAUUAUAUAAAAUAAGUACUGCUAGAUUAGUUAUAGAAUAUAUAUUCUUAUGCUAAUAAGGAGCAUGGCACAUGCCGUUCUUUGCUUUGCUCCUAGGCGCGAAGAUGUUCUGUUCAUCACGAAUGUCAACAUAUACAGAUACAGACCCACGCCUUGCCCGAAAUGCCGGCAGCCGGGAAAUGUCCGUUCCUGUCGUGGCGAGCUCCGGCGUUCUCCUUGCGUUGACCGGCGGUAGGCAGGGAGACAUUGGGUCUCUACCACGCUGCGCAGCGUAUGGUAGAACUGCGCGCGUCCUGCGUCGGUUGACCUGGCAAGCAUCAGCAUGCAUGCAUGGUGUCCUGCUGCCGUGCGCCGUGCGCGGUCCCAUAAGCUACAUACAUCACCAUUCACCAAUUGCGUUCCCUCUCGAUCAGAUUGUGGUUGCUAUGGCAUCACGUACCAAGUCCAUCACGGUCACGGGGUAAUUAUUGCGCAAGUUGUAGUUUAGGCCUUCAAGCGAAGAUGUGGACAUGUGGUCAAUGCGGACACGCCUGCUCGCUGUUGCCACCGGACUACAUUCUGUCACUUUUGCAAAAUCGAUUUUGAGAGACGCCUCCAUUCUUAUAGCAGAGACGACUAAAUAAAAAAAAACUUCAACCUGCGGGGUAAGACAGUCCCCAAGUAUUGCAUUAAAAAGAAGACAUUUUCAUGCAGGUCGAGAAAACCCUCAAACAUCUGCCCCACUCAAUCAACAACCGUGUCUAUAGAUGUCUCUAAUGGACCCAUUAAAUAGACCGUAUGCAUAUGAAAAUCCAUUCAGAUGCAUCUAAAAUGAAUGCAAUUUUCAGCCUCUAGAAAUGUGGUUAUUUCCCAUGAUAACUGGAAAAUCUCAGAUGCCCUUUAAAUCCUAUUUCUAGAGGCGUCUAUAAUUUUCAUCCGCUUAUGAAAUCUUGUUUCUAUAGACGUCUAUGAUUUUUCGUAGCUUAUGGUACUUAGGCUUAGAAUGUAUAGCCAUGUUUCUUCCUUCUCAAGAUAGAAAGUGUAGCCCAAGGAGGCAAACAGAGGAAAGCUCCAACAACUUCCCCAAAAUUUCAAUUCAAUCCAUGUGGAAAGUUUUGCUCUUGAUUUCCCUAGAGGUGAUUCUAGAAGGUAAGUUCAUGACAUUUCUAACGUCUUCUUGAUUUCCCUAGAGGAGGUGAUUCUAGAAGAUUACUUAAUUAAUUAGUUUUUUGGGUUUAUAUCUCUUUUGACAUGAUUGAGACAAGUAUAGAUAAAGUUAGAUCAAGUCUUUGAAAGCUCUAAGUUAAAUUUAGUAGGGGGGAGGUAUAAGUCUAAUUUUAGUUCCUUAUAUAUUGGAAAUCAAAUUUUAGAAUAUUAGAUAAAACCUCGAUGUAUGUUGACAUGAUCUAUACAAAACUUGUAACUAUCAAUGUGAUCUACAGUUGUGUAGUUGAUAUUUUUUUUAUUUGAAGUCCAUUUAGAGUCCUAUAAAUCCAUUUUAUGUUCUCAUAUUUUAAAAAUUUAAAAUUUUGAAAUGACUUCUGUUGAUAUAAUAUAAUCUAAUUUUAUAGUUGUCAACAUGUAUAUGAUUCACUUUGUAGUUAACAAGUUUUUGAUGUGAAAAUUUUAGAUUAUGAGAUUCAAAAAUUUAAAAUUUUCAAUGCAAACAAUUUUGAACGGAGACACACCCUCCGCAAAAUUGUAUUUCUCAAUAUGAGCUGAAACUUUAUAAAAUGAUUUAGUAGCCAAAAUAUUUAAUACAACACUACAGAAGUUAAUAUACAAUGCGAAUGUUCUAUUAGGCUAGUCUCAAUGGACAGUGUCACUGUACGGUUUCACAUACCAACACGUCAUCAAGAUUGAAAUGAAACCAUCUAUGAAAUAACCUCAGCAAUGGAGCAUUCACUUUGUUGUUUCCAAGGCUAAGCAAAGCAUUUAAUUGCUGCAAAAUAAUUGGAUCACAUGCAAGAUGGUGAAACGAUUUGACCCUCGGUGGAGAUUUCAUCUCGUUUCACCGCGUGGGAAACAACGCCCGCGAGGUUUCACCAUGGUGAAAAUACUUCCUUCUCUCUCCUCUUUGUUUCAUAAAAAAGUGCAGUUUUUUCUGACAUGACGCUAGUAGUGUAGUGGUAGGAAAGGGACCCCUAAAAUAUUUACAGCAUUUUAAGGUCUGGUCUGUUAACAAAGACCAUUUAUUAGAACAGGCAACACGUGGAACAGGUCUUGCCGAGCAGGCGGCAGCCGGGAAAGGCCCCCGAUCUUGUCGUGACGAGCUCCAGCGUUCUCGCGUUCUCUCAGCAGGCAGUGGCGCACGCGUAUUCGGAGCUCGACCAUGCCAUGCGCAGCGGUAGAACUGUAGAAGAGAACCUCGCGGUUAACCAGUUGACCUGACCAACAUGGGGGGUCGGGUCGUCGUGCCGUGUGCGCCGCGCGCGCUAGCUGGCUGUGCUGUGCAAGGACAGCAAGGUACCAAGUUGCGGCAUGCCAGCAUCACAUAUUCAUUCACCAAUAUCGCAUCAUUCGCAUGGCGUCUCGACCCGAUUGUUGGUUUGUCGCUAUGGCGCCAUCACUGCAUGCAUGCAUCACGGUCAUCGGAUCCGGAUCACGGACACUUGCACUGCAGUCCUUCAAGCCAAGCGGAGACGCGCGCGGCCCCACGCCUGUUGCCAUCGGACUCUACUUCCACGAAAAAUAAGGGCGCGCAUGUGACCGCGCGUGCGUGUGCGUGUAUGUGCGCGUCGACAAGAAGAGCAACUACCUGCUGCUCGCACCCAAUGACCCAAACAAAUGAUCACGGCGAAUUUCGUAAAAAUAUAUACAUAUACUCUUUUUAAAUAAAUAUUUUUUAUAAAAAUAAAGAGCCAAAGUUAGGUUUUGAAGACCGUAUCGCUGUCCUAAAUGAUUUUCUUUGUGAGUAUAGAGAGAGUACAAGUGAUGUGAUUUAAUACUCACUCUGUCAUAAAUUAUAAGACGUUUUGGAUUUUAUAGAUACAUAACUUUUGUUAUGCACUAUAUUUAGAUACGUAAUAAAAUCAAUGUAUCUAUAAAAGACAAAAUCAUCUUGUAAUUUGAAAUGCAUGGAGCAUAAAACUUUGGCCACUAUUUUUUUAAUAAGAAUUUGAGACACAUAGAAUAAAACUAUUUUGAAAGUAGUAGCUAUUAUUUGGCACAAAUGUCCUUCCUGUAACUUCUAACCAUUCAAAAUCAAAACGCCGAAAUUAAACUGUACUCUAAGUUUUUUUUUUUGAGAGACUUUGGCGAAGUUAAGACAACCUUAGAAACAUUUUCUUAUUUAUUUGUGAUUCGAGAUAGAAUGUAUUAGUAAUUUGUACCAAGUGUUUUCUAAAUUAAAAAACUGAGCUAGUGAAUCUUAUUUGGACAUGUAUGGUAUAGGAUAGUGGGAUUUUUUAAAAGAAAAGGUAAAACUCUAUAAGCUCUUAACCUGUGGAUGAUGGAAAGAAAACAAAAUGUAUCAUCGUAAGUAGUUCGUGGCGACAUAUGAUAUUUAAUUAGAUUUUUGUCUUUGAAUCAAUUUUUAGUUUUUUUUGUGUGUUUAAAUCUUAUACUAGCUUAGAGAUAUUUUCUAUAGUUUGAAAAACUUGUAAAGUAUUUAAAAAAUUCUUUUAACUAAAAAGGAACAAAACUGUGUUAACCAAUCCAAAACCAGGAUAAUAAGUACUAAUUUGAACGGUUUUGAGAGUUUAGGGUAACAUGACUGGUUUUGCAGAAAAAUAGACUCUAUUUAGAUCUCAUGGUCUAAACUUUAUUAGAAGCUAAAGUGAUAUAAAGUUUUAGUUCUUAACUUUAGCCAUGUAAACUAUAGAUCAUAAGAUUCAAACAGAUCUUUAGAGUAUAGACUAAGGCUCUGUUUGGUUCCCUUGCUAAAUUUUAGCUAGCUAAACUUUAGACACUUUAGUAGCUAAAGUUCUAAACAAAUUGAUUAAAAGAAGCUAAAAUAGUUUAGUUCUAUUAGUCUUCCAAAAAUAACUAAAAUAAUAUUAGCUAGUUAAAAUUUAGCAAAAAGAACCAAACAAACCCUAACACGAUACUCCUAGAAGGUAUAUUUCCAAAGAAAUUUUUCGUCGCAUCCUAAACAAGGCCAGCCGAGAAGUUGUUGCCAAGUGUUUUUUGGCCCACUACGCCAAAACGGGCGCACGAUUGCAAAUGCCGCUGGCCUUGGCCCACUACGCCAAAGCGGUGCGUCUAGCUACACGUACGCCUACACGGGUGAAGCAUCGGCUACAACCCCGGCGCGUGCGGUCCACCGAGAGAAGCGCAAGCGAUCCUGACUCCAGGGCCACCGUCCACCGAAUCCCCGACCGCGCCCCUCGACCUCCGUUCUCCGUGGCGGCGUGCUCCCCGCCUCCGCCCUCGCCCCUCCCGUCGGCGACCUUGCCUCCUCCUCCUGAAGUCCUCGGACAACCUCUCCUACCCUCUAUUGCUUCGUUCCUAGGUCCGCUGCUGCUCAUUGCCGACGCCCGACGCCGUCCUCCCUCCUAUCGCCUCGCGCGCGACAUUCUCUCCCGAUGUCGUUCUGAGGCCGUGGAAGAUCUAUAGGGGGCCGCGGGAGAGGUCGUGGCUUUGGGCACGACCACCCAGCUAAACACGCGCCGGCGCGCCGCACGAGGACUUCCCGGUCAGUCCCCCCUCCGCCCGCACCUUGCAUUGCGUGGUGCAGUAGAACUGUGAUGUGCUGCGUACGUGCUUGCACAAUGAGCAGGACAUCACCCUGCCGGAGAUGAAGUGUGCCAAGGCGAGUAACGAGGAGGCCUUGUUUAGUUCCAAAAAAUUUUGCAAAAUCGACACUGUAGCAUUUUGGUUUGUAUUUGAUAAAUAUUGUCCAAUCAUAGACUAACUAGACUCAAAAGAUUUGUAUCGUCAAUUCCGACCAAACUGUGCAAUUAGUUUUUAUUUUCGUCUAUAUUUAAUACUCCAUACAUGCGUCUAAAGAUUCGAUGUGACGGAGAAUCUGAAAAGUUUUGCAAAAUUUUUUGGGAACUAAUCAAGGCAGGCGCUGAUUCUGUCCACCUUGAAACUCGAGGAGUUCUGGAGGAGUUCCUGUUACCACCUGGAGGAGGAUGCUCCCAAGAAAAGUACUGUGGCUGAAUUUAUCACGGCUUUUCUUCUUCUUCAUCUCACUGAGGGCACUCACAAUGCAGACUCUAUCAUAGAGUCUAAAGUUAUUUAUUACUUCGAACAAUGUGGACUUGGAGUCUAAAUAAGACUUGGAGUCUUAUUUUUUCUACCUCUUUCUUCAAUAAAUAUGUUGUCACAUCAGCAAAAUACCAUAAAUAGUAUGUAGUUAAGUGUCUUGGACUCUGUGAUAGUCUUGCAUUGUGAGUGCCCUGAUUCUUCGUAAUGGUAGUGCUCCUUAUCUUAUGAUCUAUAGUUAGCUGCUCGUCUGCCUGCUCGGAUUUUCUCUAACCAGUUGGGCAGGCAAUCGACCCUGUGAAUUUUUCAAGUAGUUGGUCCAGGAAUGAGGAGGAAUCCUCAAAUAAAUUGUCGGUCUAGCUAGUCUCUGGGUUUUCUUUUUCGGCGAAAUUUCGCCGAAAUUUCCGAAAUUUCACAUUUUUCGAUGGGGUCUGAGUUUUUUUUAUAUCGGUCAAAUUUUUCGAUUAAUUCAUAUUUCGCUUCAAAAUUACUUCAAACAACAAUAAAAUAACCCACCAUAUCUUCUAGUCUUAUCAAAAGCCCUAAAUUUCUUUAAAAUUAUUUAAUUUUCUCACUCAAAUAUUUCGUGAUAUUUUGUGUUAUUUCGUUGAUAUUAUAUAAAUUUGUGAUGAACGAUAGAUUAGAAAGUUUUUCUAGUAAAAUGAUGCUAUUUUUUUUAAAAAAAAUCAAUUGAAUUUAUUUAAAUUUCAUCUGAAAUUUUCGAAAUUUCUUAUUUAUCGACAGGUGCUGAAAAAAUUUUCCUUCCGAAAAAGAAAACCUUAGCUAGCUAUGUGCAGUAGGCAACAAUUCUCGAAGAUUGUUCAUAGAUUAGUCAACUCAGUCUUUGGUGGAAGCACUUUAUGUUUUGUUCAAGUAACUGAUCAAAUAAUUGUUUAGAGAGUGUUGUAUGGAAGGUUGUUUUGCACUUUUGCUAGCUUUUGAAAAGAGGCACUACAUUACAAGUGCCCUGUUUUGUUUUUUUAUACCCAUUGUUCCAAAAAAAAACUGCAUUACCAGUUUUGUUAUCUUACUUUACUAGCUGGUACUCUUCGGAUUAUGUUAUUAUAGAAUGACAAACUUGUAGAAACGAUUUGGCAUACUCAUAAAAGCAUCUUUGUUCAUUGCUAGCAUCUUUUACUUUGUUCUGUUAAUUAGUUUUUACUUUUUACUCUAUCACCUUUAAGCAAUCCUUUUUUGACGGGUUUUUUUUUGCAUUGGUAUUUUUCUAGCUUUAUUUUAGUAAUUUGUGUUUUUAGUUUAAUUAUCUUCUGAUUUCAUAUGUUGUCAGACAAUGAAGACAAAGAGAUUGAAAGAUUUUCUGAUACAAAGCAAACGUGAAGCUCUUGCGUUAUAUCUCAAACUGGUGCAAGGCAGUCUUAGAUUCUUGAACUCAUUUGUAUGCAGUGAAAUUUAUUGCCAGCUCAAUGUUUUCAGCAUAAUAACUAUGAUAUUUUGUUCCUUUCAGGAUCUAGAAGAGGGCAAGCAGGCAACAAUAAACUCCGGUGGGAUAAGGAUUCAGGUUUUUACUUUUUACUUCUUCAUGAAAUUAUCUGCUUUUCAUAACUCUAUUCCCUGUUGGGUCACGAAGUACUGAACUGAAAAUUUGCUACUGCUAGAUGCUACAUACUUAGGUAUACUUAGACUUUUUUUACUUGGAUUGUACUUUUGUGUUUGACACGCGGUAGCCAUCAACCAUCAGACAUAGAUAUCAUUUUUUUAGCAUACAUCUAAGCACAGUUUAUGUCUGAUGGGUGGAUGGCUGCUGUACGUGUUAAGAACAGUGGAAACUUCACAUGACAUGAGGUAGGCUCGCUGAUUCACAAAGGAACCGAGAAUACAAGGUGAAGCUACUGCGCUCAUGGCAAGAAGCAAAAAGGUUCUCUAAGUCUAAAGAUGCUAUACCUGAACUAGUUUAUUAGUCGAAAUUCAAAUCCUUAUAGAGGAUGAGAAUCGGAGAAGGGAGAGUUAACUAUAUAUAAAGGCCGAGGGAAUCGAGGCUAGAUCACACUUAAGCACAGAAGAAAACUAAAGCUACAAUGACAGACAGCGACAAAACAGCUGGGAGUACUGUAGCAAAAACGGCAAGACAGAAAAGGCCAUCAGACAUAGACAAACCUGACCCGGUACAUGCCUCAACUACAUGUGGACUAAUGAUCUCAACGUCCUCCGUAUCUUAAAUUUUUAGAAUGCUGUUUCAGUACACUCCUCCAUAAUUUUGCACUGAUGCAUCACCUAUUCACCUUAUCAAAAAAGUUGGAUUUCAGAUGGACUGAUGGAGGAUAGGGCAAAUGUGGGAAACCAGUUACCGUCUGCAGAGAGCCGACCAAUUUAGCUUUCACUUUCGCCUCUUCAUCCCUAUCAAAUCCUUGUAUUUUGCUCUCUUCAUUCAAAUUGUAAAUUGUUCUGACUUUUGUUUUUAUAUAUGCAGUUUUUGCUAUACGCUUAGAUAUACAUUAUGUUUAGAGACAUAAUAAAAGUUAUGUAUGUCAAAAAAGCCAGAACGACUUACAAUCUGAAAAUACUAGAGUAGAUGAUUUGACCAACUACUGGCCUUAAUAGUAAUAACAAACUCUAUGAUGUGACCGACGCCAUGGCUCAACAAAUAGUACACGUCGGAAUGAAAGUGUGGCCAUGUUUUUUUAGAGGAACUACGCAAGGCAGGCUUGCACCGACUUGAACAAUUGUACUAAAAGCUGCAAGGUGUAUAUACACAUUAACUUACCAAUAUCAAGAUGUUGUGGAAUGGUAGUCAUAUGCAGAUAUCCACCUACUCCCUGCAUCAUGUACCGGGGACAGCAGGUUGGUCUUUCUGGGCAUGUGGAAACAGUUCCAGGAAGCCUUAUGUUUGCAGUUUGCAAGGAAUUCGGAUAGCUGAACCUUUUUUUGACGCAAUCAGAUAGCUGAGCCUUAUAAUACCAAAGACAAAUUUAAUGACAUUUGCUCACUUCAGAAUGAAUUGACUUUUGUUCUUCCAUCUUAAUCAUAUAUCAAUACAAAAACUCAUACAAUCAGAGUAGCAUGGUUGACCACCUUCUAUUGAAAAGGUUUAUACUUGUCCAUUUUUUCCCUCUCAAACAAGUACUACAAUGCUUAUUCACUGUCUCUGAAACACACAAGUCAGCAACUAACAACACAUUAUCAUGAACUACAAUUUGUCAGGAAAGAAAUACUAUUCAAUGUUCAGAUUCUAGUGGAGUCGAACGGACAGAUCACAACUUGUACUUACAUCGAGUCUCUCAGUGAUGUCCUAAUAAAAAACAAAAAUGUUCAAAUACGAUAGUCCUUUCUAGAAUGGCGCAAAGUGGAUUUAAGGAAGGGAUAUUCUAAUAUUCCUAUGCUGCUAGGUCAUCAUACGUGUCUCUAGUUAUUAGUUUAAUACCCCGAUUAGUUAGUACUAAUAGUGUUGGUUAGGCUGCCUUUACAUGCCAGAGCUCACACAUUACUAUAGCGACACCGCACGUGAUAUGCCCAAUGGAUCUUGUAUGACACAUCAUGUUUGGAAUGGAAUUGCAAUAUUUGAGAUCCAGAAACUUCACAUGGAUUUUCAAUAUUUUAUUUUUCUGAACAGUUGUGGACUUGUGGUAUCAUAACAAUUAACAAUAAGGAAUUUGAAAUUUUUUCUUGUGUUUAUACUGAGCCUGUUUUGUCCCUCUCGAAGUGAUACGUAUAAAUGAUAUAAAAUGAGGAACGCAUGUGGUGCCAUUGUCAUCCAAUUUGCUGAUUUAAGCACCAAAUAAAUGAGGAAUAGCACUGCGACGUUUCUUGUGUUAAGUUUAUCUCCAAUUUGCUUCUUUUUGUUUACACCAUAAGCAACUGGUGGAUAGCUAGGCAUCAGCUUUGGUACCAAUUGGCUGAGUAAAAUGCACUAGGGUGGAGUUCGAUAGGCCAACACCUUGACAAGUUCAAGCAAUUGAAUAAGAUAAACAACUGAAGGUUCCGGAAGAUCGAAGUUCUUGAAAUGCUAAAAUAUAAACCUAUGAUGGGUACGUAACACUGUAUUAUUUGUUAAUGUGGCAUCAUCAUACAAAGAAGUGGUAAUUGCACCAUGGAUUGCACUCGACAAGGACAGCUCGAUGUCAGCCAUCGAUUACUACAUACCUAAAAAAACUGGCUUUAAGUAACAGGUGUCGAAUCAGAACUUGUCUCAAAGAUGCUCAAAUCUUUUGCAUAUUCAUAGCACUUGCCUCAAACUCUAGUAUCUAGUGUUUCAGAUUGUAGGAUAUGACCAUAGGAAGCUGGUGGCUUGCUUGAGGUAUUUCAUUUACACACGGCAAUAUAAAUGACACGCUUCCAUUCCUAGUGUUUGCUCUUUGGUAAGCUUGUUACUAUCACUAUCUUCUCACUACAAGUCUGAAUAAACUGUGAAACUGUGCAAGAAAGCAACUUUUGUCUUGCCGUUGUAACUUGGCUGCCUACAAUCAUUAAAUCCCAAACAACUAUGACUAAGACUAUGAGUUUCUGGAUUUUUUAUAGGACUAGUUGAUCUUAUGAUCCUUUCCUUGAUGGGGAAUAAUUCCUUUUUGUAAAACUGCAAACUUUUGUUUGCUACUGAUCAAGGCUCAAACUGCAUUAUUCCCUUGAUGUGCACGCCUUUGGUUGUAUUAUUUGUACACUACAUGAAUACGUACAAAGGAUGAUCAACUAAAGUAUGUAAAAUAAUUUUCCAGACCUGAGCAAUUGUCGAGUCCUUAUAGGCUGGAUUGGAUAUUUUAGUUUCAUUCCAAAGAAAAAAAAAAGAUAGAUCCAGAUUUUAGCCCAAGCUAUCUGCCUUUAAGAAACUUUGGAAAAAAAUGCUGCUUGCUGAAGACAGCAAUGCCACUAUGUGAGAUUAGUGUCCCACAACGCCUGCAUCAUGGACCACGCGAAUUUUUCAUUAGGCAGCAGUCAUCUAAUCAUGUGAGAAUUCCUAGUAGGGUGGCUCCAGGAACUGGUGAGAUGGACAUAUAACUAGAAGCAUUCCCUGUCAAGGUGUCACUCUCACUCUGCUAUCAUCAGAAUAAGAGGUCGUAGUAGUAUAAAAAUGCAGGGAACGCCGCACUUCUACACUACACUGAUAGGAAGUAUAUACUUCGUGUUAGCCCUUCAGAGUUUCAGUACAGAGAUGCCAACAUCACCAAUCCCUUGCAUGACCCAGAACCACAGAUAAGCUUGAGAGCUCAGGGAUAAUCGCCAUGAACAAUGAGAGAGAAGAACAAGAACCGGCAGCCGCCACGACCUCGGAUUGGCUCGAUGAGUCCAUCGCCUUCCUAGCUGCCAACCUCGACCUCGGCUUUAACGACUAUGGCUUGCUGUCGACAGCAUCGGAAGCACAGGAGCAGCACGACGUCGGCGGCAUGAUCGUGGAGACGCUACCACCUACUGCUACAACCCUGCACCAGCCAAGCCUGAACCUUGAUACUAGCGUUGCGUCGUCGUCACCGAUGACCUCGCAGCAGGAGCUUGGGCAGCCCAAGAAACGCAAGUCUCCUGGACACAGCAGCAGCCAACGACCCCAUGCCGGCGGCGGCGGGAGAGGCGGCGGUCAGCAAGAAAUGGGGGAAGCGAGCUGCGUCAGGUCGAAGCCGAGCAAGAAGGUGAAUGGCAAGGGAACCGCAGCAAAUUCGGACAGGGAGGCGAGGUGGGCGGAGCAGCUGUUGAACCCGUGCGCGGCCGCCAUCGAAGCGGGCAACCUGCCGCGCACGCAGCACCUGCUGUACGUGCUCGGCGAGCUGGCCUCCUUCUCCGGCGAACCGAACCACCGCCUGGCCGCGCACGGGCUGCGCGCCCUCACGCGACGCCUCCCGCACGCCGUGGGCGAAGCGGCUGCGGCGACCGUGAAGAUGCCAUCUUGCGAGUGCCCGACGCCGUUGUUCUCCGGCGUCGACCUGCGCCUGUUCUGCGCGUCGCUCAUCAGGUUCAACGAGGUCAGCCCAUGGUUCGCCGUUCCGAACGCGCUCGCCAACUCCGCGAUUGCGCACGCCGCGUCGACGAAGGGCGCGGUGACCGGGCCCCGUCAGGUUCACGUCGUGGACAUGGGCGUCUCGCACGGAGUCCAGUGGCCGACGCUGCUCGAGGCGCUCACCCGCGUGCCGCGGGGCUCCACGCCGCCCUCCGUCCGCCUCACGGUCGCCGGUCCCACGGCCACACCACCCGUGCCCUUCUCCGCAUCGCCUCCAGGCUACGACUGCUCACCGCAGCUGCUCCGGUACGCCAAGUCCAUCGACCUUGACCUCAGCAUCGUCCAAGCGCCAUUUUUGGACACCUUGCACGGCACUCUCACCCCCGGCGAGACCCUCAUCGUCUGCCUGCAGUUCCGGCUCGGCCAUGCCACCGCCGACGAGCAAGCAGUUAUACUCCGAACGGUCAGGGACCUCAACCCGGAGCUAAUGGUCCUCACUGAGCUGGACGUCGGCGGCGGCCGCAACGUUGACAGCGCAGCCAGCGAGUUCGCGGCGAGGCUGGAGCUGCUUUGGAGAUUCCUUGACUCGACGGCGGCGGCGUUCAAGGGGAUGGAUGCGGAUGAGAGGCGGGUGAUGGAAGUGGAGGCCGGGACAGCAUUGGCGCCCACGGCGCGGCGGGGAGCGACGGUGGGCGGGGGGAGGGAGUCGUGGCGGGCGCGUUUGGCCGCGGCGGGGUUCGAGGAAGCGGCGUUCGCGGGCGAGGCGGUGGAGACGGCGAAGGCGCUGCUGAGGAAGUACGAUAGCAGGUGGGAGCUGGUGCCGCCGUCUCCGCCCGCGGCGGCCGCGGUGGGGCUCCGGUGGAAGGGUCAGCCCGUGUCGUUCUGCUCCCUGUGGCGACCGGCGCAGGCCAGCCCAGAGCUCAUGGUCAUGGGGCGUGGCGCAUAAGCGACAAGGGAUGAAGAGAUGCAGGCGGACUAUGGUUGCGCAAGCGAUCCAUCGUGCAGGUGCUGACUGCUGAUGCGCAAGCGGAGCUUUUUCCAUGGUCUGCACUGGACUGAGCGCGCGCAUGGGAUGCGUUGCCGUGUGUGGCAGUGUGGGACGAGGACGACCCGCGCGCGCCGAGAGCGUGAGACCAACACGCGCGCGCCGGCGUAAUGCAUGAUUACACGGUGGUUGGUACUGAAAGUCUGAGACGAAUAGGUGGUUUGUAUCAUUGUAUGGGCGAGUGAUAGGCUCGAAGACUUUUGCUGACUUCACUCUGCUUAUAACAGAUGCAUGUACAAAAGUCGGGCCUCUUUGGAAUGACGAAUUUUUCUGGCUAAUCCUGGCAAUUGAACUAUUUUUAUGAACGAUUUGAGCAUUGAACUUACUCAUAUGAAAUUCAAGUAGGGUUGGUCACUCUCGCAGUCUCGCCACGUCAGAGGGUGAUGGCCGCCCCUUGUCAGUUGUCACCCUAGCGACACCGACGGGCUGCCCAUAACCCUACCCUCGACCAUCGUCACCACUAUAUUUGUCAUCACUCGUCCUGCACCGUGCUACCACCCAAUCCAUGAUCGACCUCUGUUACAGGCACAAUUUUAUUCUAGGCACCUAAGUGUCAUGUUCGAAGAUGUCCUACUCCACGACUUAUUCACGAUCACCCCCUUCUCUCCACCCCAUUUCCUCCCCCACUCUAGUCAUCGACAUGUCUCCCCUGUUGUUCCAAUACACGAUAGACAUGCCCCAAUGCCAUGGACGCAACUGCUCUUGAGACUCACCUCAACUCUAACAACCCUUUGCUCCUUGGCAGCCGCGACGAUGCUAAAAGCCCGCACCCUUCACCCACACAUCCAAUGCCUAUGUCUACGUCCAACAUGAUUUUGAGUACCUCAACCUCAUCAAGUGUACACUUUGUGCGACCUCGGACACAUGGAGCGCCGCCUCAAGUCACCCACCUGUCCCUCACACCACACGACUCCAUGCCUUGCCACUUGACCGUCCUAGUUCUGCUUCUGGUGUCCAUGUCCACCCAGUCCCCUUCACCACCAGAGAUUUGAGCACCCCCCACCCACGCACACAAAGAGCUUUUGACAAGCCCCUCAACCACAUCACCUUCUCGUACUCCACGAGCCUUGAAUUUUAUCUCACAGUCCGCAGUAUGGCCAAUGCCAACCAUCGGUCGUUCCGCCUCCCACAACCAUCCCUUUUUUUUCUUGAUCUCCACUCCACUACCUCCCUGAACAAUGGAUGGUCUAUGGUCCUAGUCAUCUCGUCCCCUUGGAGAUGCUCACCCCCUCUAGUAGCAUCCUCAGACCCUAGUGCUUUCUAUGAUUGCGCCCCGUUCACUUCCCUAGCAUCAGCUGUAUAGAUGAUGUUGAUCAGAUCCCUAAUUCCAUACAUUAAAUACAAGUCGCACUAGUCCUCCCAUGGCAGGAGCAACAGUGGUAGGAGAAAGAAGAGGAUGGGUGCGGGGUUUCAUGGAUAGGAAUGACUUCUUCAUAGAUUUGGGUGCCUUGUUUAGUUGGCAAAAUUUUGGCUUUUGGGCUACUGUAGCACUUUCGUUUUUAUUUGACAAAUAUUGUCGAAUCACGGAGUAACUAGGCUCAAAAGAUUCAUCUCACAAAUUUCAGGUAAACUGCGUAAUUAGUUUUUAUUUUUAUCUUUAUUUAAUGCUCCAUGCAUGUGACCAAAGAUUCGAUGUGACGGGAAAUCUUGAAAAUUUUUGCGAACUAAACAAGGCCGUAUGAAACGGUCCUAUACUUGUAUUUAAUGUAUGGAACCUGGAUAGAAAUGUCUAUUGUGGUUGCUCCAAUCUUUAUCUUUUUUCACUUAUUUUUCUCUUUUUUUUUCAUUCUCUCUUUAUAUCUACAUUCCUUCCGUUAUCUCCUCACUUGGCCAUGCAAUCCACGUCGACAGCUCUCUCCACCCCGUCCUGUGCUCUGGCCACCUUGGCCUGGGUGACCCACCUUGGCUCUAGCCCAGGCAACCCCAUCUCUAGUAACCUGCCCCUAGCUCCAAAAAUUCCUUCUUACCCCGCACCUCGGCCACUCCACCCCCUCCCCGUCUUCGGCAUCGUCCUAGGGAGCAAAUCCACCCAUGGCCACGCUAGAGCCCACCUGAGCCAGAGAAAGCUAGAUAAAAUUAUAUUUUUAGCUUCUUCUCUCUCCCCUCUCCUCUCCGUGGGAAAUCCAUGGCUUCACCGAUGAAGUGGAGCUUCUUUUGUCUCUUCUCUCAGGAAUCCGUGGUUUCACCGAUGAAGCAGACGCACGGAGAGACGUUUGUUGGAGAGGCUAAAAACAGAAUUUUGAAACUAGCAAGAAUACCUAUGAAACAUGCCCUUUUUCUUCUAUAUAGACAACGCAGGCAGAAGCAGGCGCUUGGUACAGCAGCUCUGUGCAGACGAAGAUUAAACUCUUUUUUGGGAAGGCGGGGGGCGAGAGAAACAGGUAGAAGCUUAAAAACUUUUUUGAGGAGCAGAAAGUGAGAUAGCAGAUGAGCGGACAAGAAGCUUAAACUUUUGUUUAGCAGAUAAAUAGUUUUUGGCUCUCAUUUUCCCUGGUAGCCAUUUCAGUCCUUUACUAUAUAACUUGUAACUUAGCUAAAUAGUGGAAUUUUAGCAGGCAUGCAUAUGCCUUCACCUAGUUGUGUACUACUUGUGUAGCAUAGCAUCUUCACAAUUACAGAGCUUUGGCAACACUCAUACUCAUGUUUCAUUGCUAGAAAAGUCUAAAAGUAUUGACGGGACAAUCUCGGAUAGAAUGAGAUAAAGUUGCAAAGGAAAAACUUCUAGCCGGACUGAAUUAAGAUUCAUGCUCUUCUUUGAAGAAGCAAAUACAGGGAACAUGAUAGAUUAUCAACCAGUAGGCGUGAAGCCCCACAUGUUACCUAAAAAAGUGUACCUAGAAAAGAUCACAACAUGAACGGGCUAGAUAGCAUAAGAAAUGACGCACAAUAUACAUUGAUUUGAUCCCACGAAUCAUUUACCCUCCAGAUAUCACAACACAAACAGGAACAUGCUGAAUAGCAUAAGAAAUGACACAUGCAAGCAUUCAGUGGGGAAGAAAACUGUUGACGGAUAAAUAGCAAUCACCAUAGCAUAUUUAAUUUCCGAUUUCAUCAACCUUGGAAGUCUCAAACCAACAAAUAAUUGCAUUAAUCAGGCAGAAUGCAUCUUAUCUUAAAUUAUGAACUGUCCCAGUGAUCCUUGGGCCUGAAUAACUAUUCACAUCGCGUUACGAUUGCAAAGAGGACUUUGGAGCUGGAAGCAAGAAGUUCAGGAUUGCCUCAUUGAACCGCUUUGGAUCCUCUUCCUGAGGCAUGUGGCCGGUGUCCUUGAGGACCUCCAACCUAGCAUUUGCUCCAAGUUUCCUGCAUUUGCACAUUUAUCCUUCCGUAAGUUUUGAAUGCCACACGUGAAAUCAAAAUGUACAGGUGAGAUCAGCAUGUACUGACCUUGCGACUUCAAAUGCCUUCUCGACAGGGAAUAUUUGAUCAUGCUCUCCCCAUAACACAAGAACUUCGUCCUGAAAGAUGGGACAGAUGUGUUGGGUAAGGAUAUCAGAUAUGGCAUGGCAAUGCGUUGCUGUAGCUACGUGUGUAGGAAGUACCUGGGGGAGAGGUGUAAGCUGGAAUUUGUCUUUGUUACCCAGUGUUAUCCCCUUGAUUAGCUCCUUCUUCUCUUCAACUUUGUCGCUGUACAGAUACUGCAGCAGAGUCUUACUGUUACUCAAAUCUAGAGGUCAUAUUCAUGCAAUCAAGCUGAGAUCGUCACAGAGGUAAUUGCUAUCAAGUAACGGAUACUGUGGUGUAUUUCAGUCUCCAGAACCAGGCAAUUUUUAUGUAAUUCUUCACAGAUAUAUGAGUAUAUUGACAUUAUAAUAGGAAAUCCAACUUCGUCCACGGCCUGGAUUUAGUAGGCUGUAGGCCUUCCAUUGUUGACGUUGACUACUCUCAGGUCCAAUUUCCCUGCUGAAUCCAGAACCCGCUGUUGUACAAUGCCAGCCAGCACCGUGGUCCUAAUUUGCCAGACAAUACUGUACUGAACAUGUGCAGUGGCUGUUCUUGCAAAGAAAUUACGAUGGGGUAGCAUAUAGAGUAUGGCAGCCGAGCCAAUACAAUGGUUGUGACUUGUGAGUGUCUGACCACUUGCCCAGCACUAGCUAGCCGUCAACGUCAACAAAGGAAGGCCUACUGAACGGACGUCUAGACGCUCUGAUCCCGGGACAAAGAUGGCCGCGAUGCCUGUUGUCGUUUGUUGGAAUGCAGGUAGGCAGGCAUGCGAUGCGACGACGCGCUUGUACUGGUCACUGACCUGUACUGUGUAGUACUGCUACUCGGCUAGUAGUUCUAGAAGGAUCUGGAUGGCUAGACCGCUGGAGCGGGCAUUCAGGAUGUAUUGAUUGGAAGAGCGGCACGACCGGAGGAACGGUUGGGAAACGAAUGCAAGCUAAAGGCCGCGGCCGCUGGGAGUUGAUGGCGAUUCAGCGCGGCAGUUGGGAAACCCGGGAAUCCGAAGACGAGGAAACCUGGCGUCAGAAAUAAGCUAGGAUUCCGAUCCACGGCCACGUCAUCGCCAGGCGACGUGGCGUACUGACGUGGAGGCCAGGCCAUCUGGCCAUGCAUGAAUGCGACACUCCGAUGCAACCGAGCGGCAAGCCAGAUGGCCCAAGGAAGAAGGACUCGAUCCCAACGCGACACGACGAGCAAGCUAAUGAUCGACACUGUUCAUUGUUGCUUGAUCGGAAGCACGAUGCAUCUCUUCUAUCUAGUGCAUGGAUCGUGGAGUUUGCUGUUUACCUGGACGAAGUCGCGGAGGACGAAGCCCGGCGUGAAGCGACGCGGGCGGUGAUAGGCGAGCUGCAGCAGUCGCCGCAUCUGCUCCGGGGAGCGCGGCAGCAUGACGUCCUCGACGCGCUCGGCGCCGCCGCGGCGGAGGAGGGCGCGGUCGUCGUCGGCGGCCUUGAGCAGGUCGGAGCUGGCGAUCACCACGCGCUCCACCACGGCGGGGCCCAGCAGCCGCGCCACGUGGUACGCCACGAACCCGCCGUAGCUGGUGCCGGCCACCGACACGCGCGCCGGCGCCCCCGCCACUACGGCCGCCACGAGCUUCGCCACCGCCUCCGCCUGCUGCGCCUCGGAGACCCGCCCGGCGCCGGGCGCGGCCGACGACGUGGUGGACGAGCCGCCGAAGAAGAGGAGGUCUGGCACGAUGAGUCGGAACCGGCGCGAGAGCGGGCCCACCUGGCGCCGCCACUGCCACGUCGCCGGGGGGCCGAAGCCGUGCAGGAGCACCAGGACGGGGCGCGCGUCGCCCUCGCCGUCGGCGGCGGCGCCCGGCCCCGGCGGGAAGCGCCAGCAGUGGACCGUGGUGGCGCCGCCGUCCAGCGGGACGGUGGCCUCGACGAGCCCCGCCGCGGCGAAGCGGCGCCGGAAGUAGGCGUCCAGCAGCGGCGCGAUGCCCAGCGUCGGCAUGGCGUGGCGUGGCGUGGGUGCAGGGAGGGCGGCGGGUAGCGGCGUCCCUGGACCUGGAUCGAGAGGUGGGUUGGUGUCUUUACGGGCGGGAGUCCGGAUGGAUGAGACAGAUUAUAAAUGGAGACCGUCCGUGCACUUUAUUACAAUUAAAAUUAAUGGCACAUGUUCUUUUGGUUUCUGGUCUUCUGGAGAUGUACUACUCGUAUAUAAAUUUCGCUGAUGCAUUAGACAAAGCUUGGACGAUGAGUACACACAUAUAGACUUUGUUUAGUUCUAAAAAAUUAAAAAAAAAUUAGAUUCUCCAUCACAUCGAAUUUUACAGCAUAUGCAUGGAGCAUUAAAUAUAAAUAAAAGAAAUAACUAAUUACAUAAUUUAACUACAAUUUGUGAUAUAAAUUUUUUAAACUUAAUUAGUCUAUAAAUAAUAUUUGCAAAUACAAACGAAAGUGCUAUAAUUUAUUUUACCAAUUUUUUUAACUAAACAAGACCAUAGACGUAGCAAAAGAGUUUGCAAAUGUCACGAUUUUUCUCGAAUACGCAAAAGGUUUGCGCAUCUUUGUAUUAAGUAGAAGUAGUUUUUUUACAAAAGCGCCGAGGCGCUGGCGGCGGAGGUUUUACAGGUGGUACAAGAACAUUACCCUCCCCGCAACACGACAUGCUAACUACUCCCGAACUAGACAACCUAAGUUCCGAGCCCCGGCUUGUAUCCAGAGAUCUCCAGAGAUUCUUAUGGUGGACAGAAGCUGACCAACUGUGUGGCCGGGGAGCCCCUGAAGCAACGCGCAUUGCGUUCUUUCCAAAUCUCCCAAGCAACCAAGGCGAAUAAAGUGUCCGCUCCUUUACAUUUAUCACCGUGCCAUCUGAGCCUCCAGUUCUCCCACCAAGUUAGCCAGUUAUCAGCCCCGAUCUGCGACGCGUCGGAACCCAGAGUGGCCAAGACGGUCCACCAAAUUUGCCUCGAGAACGAACAGGUGGCGAUGAUGUGGUCGAUCGUCUCAGGCUCCUGGUCACAAAGGUAGCACCGGUCAGCUGCCUCCAGCCCGUGUCGGCGUCUUCUGUCGGCUGUCCAGUGGCGUCUUCUGAUGGCGAGCCAUAGGAAGAUUUUGACGCGUAGAGGUGCCCAAGUUUUUCAGAUCAGAGGGCAGCCGUAGACCGGGCUAGAAGCCGCGAGUAGAGCACGAUAUGCUGAUUUGGAGGAAUAGAUCCCAUCUGCUGUCCAGCGCCAAAUGAGCUUGUCUUCACCUGUGCCUAAGGUUAUUGUGGUUAGAAGAUCCCACAGCCUUAGGUACUCGACAACGGCUGGAACGGUGAUUCCCCCCGUGAUUUGCCGCACCCAUGAUCGGUUUUCCAGCCCCGCGGCGACGGUUGUUUCGACAAUGUCUCUCCGGCUGACGAACUCCAGCAGGGUCGGUGCGAUAUCCUUGACAGCCUUGCCCUGGAUCCAACGUGCGGUCCAAAAAGCUGUGGACUGUCCAUUGCCGAUCAAGGUGAACGUGGAGGCGUCGAAGAAGGCGGCCACCUCCCUGGACGCCUUGAUUGGCAGCUGUGCCCAGGCUCUGGUGGCGUCGGUGUGCUUGAGCCACAGCCAGCGGGCCUGCAGUGCGAUGGAAGCGAGGCGAAGAUCCGGGAUGCCCAGGCCGCCAAGAUCGGUUGGCCGGCAGAUUGCUGUCCAAGCGACCGCGCAUUUUCCCCUGAUUGACCCCUCCUUCCCUGUCCAGAGGAAUCUACGGCAGAUGUUGUCUAUCUCCUGUAUCGCCCACGGCGGCAGCCCGUCCGCGAUGAUGGUGUAGAUGGGGAUCGCGGAGAGGACGGAUUUGAUCCAAACUAGCCGGCCGCUCUUGGCCAUAAGAGGGCCGUGGCAGCUAGGUAGCCUCCUGCUGAUCGCGUCGACGGUCGCCUGUAUCUGUGCUCUAGGAAUCUUCUUAGUGCUUAACGGCAAGCCAAGGUAUGUGAUGGGAAAUUGUGUUGCUUGGCACCCCAGGAUUUCUUGCAACUGAGGCAUACUGUCGUCUGGAACGUGGAUUGGCGUGAUGGAGCAUUUGGCGAGGUUGGUCCUCAGGCCGGAGGCUUCGCCAAAGAUGCGCAGGAUCUCCUUGAUCGCUCUGGCAUCGUCAACGUGUGGGUGCAGGAAGAUGAUGACGUUGUCCGCAUAUAUACUGCAGUGAUGCUUGAUAGCAAGCGACUGCUGUGGCCUAAGCAGUCUGUCAUCCACCGCCGUCUUGAGCAGCCUCGCGAACACCUCCAUUGCGAUGAUGAACAGCAUCGGUGAGAGCGAGUCGCCCUGUCGUACCCCGCGCAAGUGUCGUAUGGGCCUGCCUGGUCUUCCGUUAAGCAGUAUGCGGGAGGACGCCGAGGAUAGCAGAGCGGCUACCCAUCUGCGCCAGUGCUCCCCAAAGCCGAAGGCCCUCAGGGUGUCAAGCAAGAAUGGCCAAGCGACCGUGUCGAACGCCUUUGAGAUGUCAAGCUUGAGCAGCGCCGUAGGUGUCUUGUUCUUUUUGAGAUAGACCGCUGCUCGCUGAACAAAUUUGAAGUUGUCGUGGAUUGUUCUUCCUUGGAUGAAGGCGUUCUGGUUGGGCGAUAUGAUUUCCUUGAGCCGCGGCGCUAACCUCGACGCUAGGAGUUUGGAGACAAGCUUGCCGAAGCUGUGGAUCAUCGAGAUGGGUCGGUAGUCGCUCGGAGACGAGGCUCCCUGUCUCUUAGGCAACAGCACGAUGAAGGCAUUAUUUACCCUGUAGAAGGCUGCGUUUAAGGCCGCCACCACGUCCUCCUUAAUCUGUGGCCAUGCAGCUUUGUAGAAGGCUCCGGUGAAUCCAUCCGGCCCCGGUGCCCUGUCCGCGGGCAUUUCCCGCACGACCCGCUCCACCUCCUCCUCAGAGAAGGGCAGGUCGAGUGCAGAAAAAUCCUAGGGGAAGAUCCCAAUCGCGUGGUAGUCAAUCGUGUGGCCUCCAGACCCCGGCUGUCCGAACACCCCCUUGAAGUGGUCGCGAACUGCCGUCUCCAUCUCAUCGUGAUCAGCACAGAUGACCCCGCUGUCGUUUCUGAGUCGGUAGAUGGCGUUUUUGCGCUUCCGGCCUCGGGCAGCAGGUGGAAGUAUUUUGUGUUGGCAUCCCCUUCGGCCAGAUACCUGACACGAGCCCUUUGACGCGCCAUUGUGCGUUCCAAGGACGCGAGACCCAGGGUCUUGAGCUUAAGCUCCCUGCGCAGGUGGAACUCGCUCUCAGAGAGGUCCCUAAGCUCCGCAGCCUGGUCUAGUCGAAGAAUGAUGGCUCGCGCCAUGAGGAGUUGCUCUCUGAUAUUGCCUAUCGCGGUGGCCGCCCAGCUCUGUAGCUUGCGCUUUAGGCUCCUGAACAGCUCAUCAAGGCGGCGCAAGGGGUCGGAGGUGUCGGACGUGCAGACCCAGCCCGCGACCACGGCUUCGUGGAAGCCUGGCGUUUUAGGCCAGAAGGACUCAAAGUGGAAUCUCCUGGCGUGGUGGAUGGACAGGUGCGUUUGCAACGGUAGCGGGCUGUGGUCGGAGACGUGUGUGGUCUAUACAGUUUACCUGAAGAUCGAAGUUUGUCUUUUGGGUAGGAAAGAGCAUUGAAGAGAUUAUUGUCUUGACAAGCGGUCGGACGGAAAAGAUCAAAAGAACAUGAGUUCGUGAUCAAGCAUACGGACUGGGAGCUGAGACAGCACUCAAAAGAUUUAUCGCCAAACUGCAGGUCGUUUAUAUAUUAUUAUCUUAGAAAAUCACGUGCCGCUUCAAAUAUUACUAGUACUCAGGAAUGCAUGGUUUCAGCAUGUUCACAGAUGCGCGCAGGCGUUUAACAUGGUGACAAACAUUGGUAUUUUAAAUCGGCAAGUUCCAGUUAUCAUGAUCAUGAUUCUGGAGUCUGAAUAGGGAUUGAGAGUUUCAGAUAUUUACUACAAGUGCAUAUUAACAUAUUCCAUUCCCCUGAACAGGUGCACCCUUAAGUUUGUAAAUAAACUCGUAUUAUGGAACAACAUAUGCUGAAUAAACCAGGUAUUAUACUCGAGCAUACAUACAACUAACACAACACAAGCCAAUGAGCCCAUGACCAACAGUUGAUUUUCGGCUUUCAUCUUCCGCUGUCUGACAGCUGCAGCAGCCAUGGCAUUGAGCCCGGACGAGACCCUCUGAGAAGGCUGCCACCGGGAUCACGAUGAAAACCAUUACCGUCAACCUCUGUUUCCACAGCCUGAUCAGACGCCGGCAUAACAGGACGAACAAGUAGUAGUAGUAGUAGUAGUAGGGGUCGCAUUCGAAUGGGUUUACGGCUCGUGUUUUAUUAAGACGAAAGCAAGUUUUUUUUUACAACCCGCUAUUAGGCUUGAUAUACAUCAACUCGUUUACGAGUACAUUAGCAAAACUAAUAACCAAUAACAAUUAGUCGUAAGAUACUAUACAGCGGUCGAUUGCACGACGUUGGCUUUAGCAAAAAAAAAAAAAACGCCCACACAGAAGUUAACGGGGUGAUCAAUCCAUUGACCCUCUUCUUCUAGAAUAUGCUUCGCGAUGGCCGCCGCCAAGGAGACCUGGUUCCUGAAGAUUCUCGCAUAGCGCUGCUUCCCAACCUUCCAAGAGACGAGCAAAAAACCAACGAGUCCAACCCCGUCGCUGCUCCUAAUCAAGCAGGACUCGCCGUUGCAGCCACCACUCCCGGAGGGCACCAUCACCAAGGUCUAUCGUUCCUGCAACGUGCCAGUUCAAAGUGGAAACAUUCGUCAGGUUACGACAAACCUACAAUCCACGAGCCAACUUUACCGCAAAGAUGGUUCUUUUACAAAAGAAAAAUAAAAGGUGAUCCGACAAAGGUUGUGGAAAGAUCAUUAGGUGAACAACCCAAUGCGGAAACUUUUCGGAAUUUCGUGGCCCUUCCUUCUAGAAACAGGGGAAGCGAUAACAAAUCUGCCAUGCUUCCAUGGUUGAGGUCCCUGGAAUUCAUCAGCAUGGAAGUGACAUCCCCUCCACUGGUAGCAAAAGUCGCGGAAAAGCUUGUACUGCAUGUCUGAAAUUCUGAAUAUCUGAUGUUCUUGCAAAUACCGACCAGGUGCACAAAGAUCAUCAACUGCAUACACGGAGGAAAAAUACUAAGGUCUUAUUUGGAUACGCAUAUAUUUAUCUCAAUCCACGUAUAUUGAAAUAGAUUGAAAUAGAAUUUUCUAAUCCAUUUCAAUACACGUGGAUUGAAGUGAGGCCUUAUUUAGUUUUUUUUUGUAAAAUGGAUACUGUAGCACUUUUAUUUAUAUUUAACAAAUAUUACCCAAUCAUAGACUAACUAGGCUUAAAAGAUUCGUCUCGCAAAUUAUAGUAAAUUGUGCAAUUAGUUAUUUUUUAUUUAUAUUUAAUUUAAUGCGCUAUGCAUAUGUCACAAGAUUCGAUAUGAUAGAAAAUCUGAAAAAAUAUAUAAAUUUUUUAAAAAACUAAAUAAGACCUGAAUAUACAUGCAUCUAAACAAAAUGAACCAUGGAUAAACACACCCCGCUCCACUCGGCCCACAUACAUCGACAGUUUGCCCGUCAAAAAGCACCCAACUUCGACGCGAUUCCGACGAUUCGUGAGAAAAGAUUCACAAAUGCGCAUGGAUUGGAAGUUUCAAACACCAAGAAACGUGUAGUGUAGGGCUGUAGUCAUGAUAAAGCAACCUAACAGUAUCUAAAAUUACACGCCGCUUGGCGGUCCGGGGUGGAGAACGCGGACUUGGCCUGGAUGGCGAGGCACACGUCGUCGGCCUCGAGCGAUAGCAUGACGGCGUGGUCGUCGUAGGCCCUGGCCUCGCUGAGCACAUCGUCGGCGAAGCCGUGGGCGAGCUCCUCGAAGGCUCGAACCGGGUACACCCCAGCGAGUCGGUACUAGUACUCCUUGAGACCACAGAGCCCACCAUUCUCCACACUGCGUGCAUACGGUGGCAUCCAUUAGGGCUGUGUUUAGUUUCUCAACGAAAAAAAUUCACGACACUAUAACACUUUCGUUUGUUUAUGGUAAUUAUUGUCCAACCAUGGACUAACUAGGCUCAAAAGAUUCGUCUCGUCAAUUCCGACCAAACUGUACAAUUAGUCUUUAUUUUUAUCUAUAUUUAAUACUCCAUGCAUAUAUCUAAAGAUUUAAUGUGGCAGAAAAUUUUGAAAAAUUUCGGAUUUUUUUUUUUGGAAGUAAACAAGGCGUAGGGCAGUGAGAGGGAAAAGGGGUGACAGUGACACACGUUUGAGUAUUCCGAUUACGUAGACUCGAUUCUAUAUUAGAUUUACCCACCACUAUCAACAACGACGCUUUGGCCGAGUGGUUAAGGCGUGUGCCUGCUAAGUACAUGGGGUUUCCCCGCGAGAGUUCGAAUCUCUCAGGCGUCGAAUACUUUUUGGAUUUUUUUUAUUUUUUGCAAAAUGUAAAUUUUUUUGGAUUUUUUUUCCCAUUUUUGCAAAAUAUAUUUCCCCCUUCUCUCUUGUCUCUUCGUUGACACUACAUGCUCCUUCACUUUUCAAAUUUUAUUACUGUGAGUAAAAAAACAUAUAUUGUGAUCCUUUGUCUUGCCCAUUAUUGCACGUGUGUCGCUCAGGACACAAGAGGCAUGAUAACUUGGCCUCAUCCUCUCCUUCCUCCAGCUUAACACCGAUGGCCUACUCAAGGUUCCAAACUUAUAGCAACUAAACACAAAGAGUUGCACUCGCUAUUGACUUAACCUAACAUCUUACGACCCGAGCUGGCGACAAUCAUGCACCACUUGUGUCCGGUUCCCGAGGGCAUCCCUCUCUUUCAAGAGGAUCCGCGUCAUGUCAAGUUCUGGUAAGGUUCUUCAUUUUGCAUCGAAUUAAAACCAUAUGCUCCACCAAUUAUGCGGGUUCUCGUCAAUUUCUUUGAGUUUCAUUCUUAUGAACGUAUUCCCCAGGCAGGAUACUUAACGCAUUAGUUACAACGUUGCAUGGGUCGAGUUGCACAACACCUAGUAUCCAUCGUUUACGGCUAGGACUACUAAGGUCUCUAAUCUCAUUUGCUCCCCUAGUUUUCGUCUCUCAGUGUGAGUGUCGGCUCAACAAAGUGCUUUUGUCGUUGAUGCUCUUUCCAAUAAUGUAUUUUCCCCUUCUCUCUCUGUCUCUCGUCUCUUCGUUGACACUACAUGUUCCUUCACUUUUCAAAUUUUAUAACUGAGUGAAAAACAUAUACAGUUUGGGCAAACCAAUUUUCACUGAUUUAUUUAUAGAGAGAAAAUUUUGCAUGCUGACCUCUGUCUCACUUUAUUAACGCUACAGGUUCCUUCACUUUCCAAAAUUUAUAGCAAAGUUACAAAAAAAUUCAUAUACGGUGUGGUACAAACAAGUUUCCCGGAAUUCUUUUGUACAGAGAGAAAAAAAAUUCUGAGCUUACAGUAUCCACAGCUCAUAAAGACUGGACCAAAAUACAGAAAAAAAAAGUGAAAUCAGGGGAAAUAGCAGUUAGCCAGUUAGGCACAGGUGCACAGCGGUCUUGCCGUGCUUCUUUCUGAAAUGAAUAGGCCAAAUUUCACCAUUGCCUGAGUUUUUUUUUUUCCUGAACCGAGAAGGAGCAGGAGUUCUUCUUUGCCUUAGAGGAAGGAGAAGAAAAAAAAAACAGUGCAAACAGAAAGUUUAGCACAAGACAACACCGUCGUUGGUCGAUAUAUUUGACAUUCCCUGAGCUAAAACUCUGUGUAUCAUGUAUUUACAUGCUAUCUUUGGCUUUAAUGAGUAGUAUACCAUAUGUGACACAUCGGUUACAGAACUUUGGUGCCUCUUUUUUUCAUUUAUAUUUUGUCGGCACAGGGGAAUCUAAACUUCAGAUGAUUUAUAUGGGUUCACGUCAUGUAUUUACAAGGUAUGGCGUUCUAAGGCUGUCAGGAUUGAGAAAUGGCGAGACGGUGAUCAAACUUUUGGUGGAGCUCCCUCGUGUAACCUCUGGAUUUGCAUGGGGUUGAAGGAAUGAGUUCAAGCACGUCGCCCAUUUUUAGUUCCUGGUUCCAGUUGUGGACGACAUGGCAGUUCAGCCUCAGCCUCAACGGCAUCCCAUAGUUAGAUCUGUUUAGUAGGUCCAGUAUUGUCCAAUCUUGGGGGAUUUCUUGUACUGACAUCUGUAAACACAUAAAAUUUACUUUUGUGGUUGAUCGGAAGAUACAGCAUCAAAAGAUAGGUGAUACCUUUUCAUUCUCCAGAAGUAUUACUAGUACUGGCCCUUUGUGAUCACAUUGUUUUGAGUAGGACAACAGACAGGCAUCAGAGUGAGAUGGAAUAGUGUGUGUUUCCUUUGAUGAAGCAUCACGUGCAAGUGAUGAAGGAUGGUCUGUGUUCAGAGUUUGACAGUGCCAUGUAAUAACCCAUCUAACCCACUCAACCAUUUCAGAAACAGAGGUGCAGCAACUCCGAGCAGCAACUUCCUUAUAUCUCCAAUGAGCAGCAAUUCCAAACUCUGCCUGCAAAUGCAUGUCCCUCGUACGGAUUUGGAUUUCAAGUGGUAGCGUUUCUUCAGUGAGAACAACCGUAUGCAGGGACUGAUACCUACAAGUUAGCAAACAUUCUUCAGUAAGCAUUGUGGCUUACAUUAUUGCAUAUUUCUCUUCGUUCCAAAUUAUAGUUCACUUUGAUUGUUUCAAAAAAAAAUCACUUUGGCUUUGUCCUAAGUGAAACUUGUCUAACUUUAACCAAAUAUUUGGAAGAAUAUAUUAAUAUCUACAAGCUCAAAUAAAUGCACCAUCAAACAUCAUAGAAAGUUUAAUUAAACAAAAUUUGAUGUUAUAAAUGUUGAUGCAUUUUUCUAUAAACUUGGUUGGAGUUAGAGAAGUUUGAAUUAGGAUAAGCCAAAGUGAACUAUAGUUUGGAAUGGGGGGAGUAAUAUCGUAUUAUGAAUGAGUAGCAUGAAUUUACAAGUAGUACCUGUUGGGUUUGGGGCUGUUGAUAUAAUCUUUGAACUUGCCAGGAAUUCUAGGCCAUAGGUGAUGGAUAAUCUCUAACGCAGCAAAACAAUCAGCCUUGUUCUCAAGAAUAACACGCACCCCAUGUAUAUCAUAAAUUUCAUCCAUGACCAGCUUCUUCCUAAAAUGAAGUAGAAUCACAUUAGCACAUUCAAUGAUAUAUUUCAGGCUCCCAUCUUCAUCAGAUUGUUCAGUAAAGCUUGUUCAGGACUCUGUUACAGGGGGAAUAAAUUGUAGGGCUAUAUAACAAUAGAAAUAAUUUUGUUUUGUUCAUUCUAGUGGUACCAAUGAAAAUAAAAGGGCACAGUACUCCCUAUUACCUUGCCAUCUUGCUGUAGAUGCUGUACAAGCUCUUGUGUCUCCCAUAUAUGGCAUAAUAGGAUAGUCCUCUCACCUGAAGGGCUUGUUCAAGUCGCCUUGUUGCAGCUGCAAUCAUAUCUCUGUUGUAGAACUCAGUAAGGCUUGUUGACAGUUCAUCAAAUUUAUCUGGGCAAAGGUACUUGAAGCACAGGUUUUCAAGCUGUUCCUUCCAAUUCAAUAUGCCCAACUGAUUCGCCAAGGGAGCAAAUAUCUCCAGUGUUUCCUUUGCAAAGCUCUGCUGUUUGUUCUUGGGCAAAGAAUCCAGAGUCCUCAUGUUGUGUAGCCUGUCAGCAAGUUUAAUGAGCACAGCUCUUGCAUCUUCCAUUGCAAGGAAGACUAUACGUAAUCUGUCAGCUUCAUCAAUUCUACUGGCUGUAUUGUUUCUACGAGCCAGUUUGCUCAGAUGACUAAGCUUUGAAACCUAAAAAAAGGGCAACAAUACUAUUGUUUAGUGAUUUAGUCAAAUGAGACAAUAUCCUCAUCGUCUCCAAAAGAAUAAACCAAGAUUUCAAAAGCAACUGAAGUUUCUUCAACAUAUAUUAAGGCACAAAUGUUGACUUUAGACAACCUACAUAUCGUUUGUUAGCAGAACAAACAACAGCAAAAAACUUCCAUAUCCCAAAUAAAUUGGUGUAAGACCAUAAUCCAAGGAUUCUGUCAACAAAGAAAACGAAAGGGAAAGAAUGGAAAACAAAUAAAACACCAUACAGCACGAUGCUGAUUGGAUCUGCUAACCCACCAGGGACUGAUGUUACAUUACUGAAAGAUAAGUCAUUCCUAGAUUAAGCAAGUCCUCACUAUAAUAAUAUAGAGGUGACCGUAACGUGAUACCUAACUCGGAUAGACACAACAAGAAUCCUUUCUAGAAGCUCCAUGAACAAAGUAACAAUCAAUAAGUUCUGUCAGUCACAGUCAGAGAUCUAGCAGCACGCAAUCCAUAAAAGCCAAUAAAUACCAGAAUAAAACUAGAGGGGUCCGUGAGAUGGCUUCUUUGUAGAACUGCAGUCUUUUGUGAUCUGAUCUGAUCUUGCACUCCUGCGCCGCUUAUGUUACUCUCAAGUGCAGGGCAUCGAUGACAUACUCUGGUAUUGUUAUGUUGUGGUCAAAAUGGAAUAGUAGUGCUACCUGCAAUAAGGGGGCCUUACCAGCAAUACUAAAUUCAACAAGGUUAUUGUAGAAUAUAGUUAAAUUACAUUAUCUGAAACCAAGGAAUCAUUAUCGCCUGUGCUCAGUCAAUUAUAUCGAAAGGGAUCAAAGUAAUUACCCCUUUGACAAGGUCCGCAACACCGGCACCGAAAUGCUCGGAGAUGAAACCGUAGCCCAGCCCCGCGUCAUCGACCGUGUCGUGCAGCAGGCCGGCAGCGACGACGGCAGGGCCGGCGCCAAUCUCCGCGAGCAGCGCCGCCGUCUCCACGCAGUGCUGUAGGUACGGGUCGCCGCUCGCGCGCACCUUACAUUAGACAACCAAUCGCGCAUUCAAGCAAACGCAGUUCCGUCACUUCAGCAGCUUGGAUUGCAGACCAUAGCCUAAAAAAAUGCAAAUGCGAGCAACCGGGACACGAUCGCGCACCUGGCCGCGGUGAGCCGCCUCGGCUGCGGCGAAGGCCCUCCGCACGAGCUCGUCGCGGAAGAUGGCGUGCCGCGACUGUGCGCCGGCUAUCAGCGCCGCGGACUGGCCGUCUCCGUCCAGCGCCACGGCAGCUCGGGCCCGCCUGGCAGACGCGGAGCCCCGGCACGGAGCCCGGGGUUCGAAGGAGUCGGCGGAGCGCGAGAGAGACAAGUACGGCGGACUCCGGCUCGCCCGCAGCUCGCCGGCGGUCGGGGCGCCGCGAGCGGCCAGAAGCUCCAGCGACGGCGCGGGUGGCUGCGGGGCAAGGCGGGGGUGGGGGCGGCACUUCACCGGGCUGGCGAUCGACGGUGUCAUGGCUCGCCGGCGGUUGGCGGCCACGAGAAUGGAGGCUGGCUGGUUUGCAGGCGAAGGAGAAGUGGAGAGGCGAUGGAAGAGGCGUCGUGGAAAAUGAUUUGGGGAGUUGGGCUUUCCUAGUUUCGCGCGUGGUUACUAUAGCCGGGGGAAGUUAUCGCUCAUUUGCUCUUUGGCCCUCGGGUUGUUAUCCGUAUUGCGCUCUACACCUUAGAAAUGCUAAUGCUAGUACUAAUUACUACCACGGUCACAAGUACUCCCUCCUUUCCAAUUUAUAUAAAUCAUUCCAAUAAUCUUGAGGAUCAACAAAAUCAUAGAAAAAAUUAUAAAAAUUUAUGAUUUCUAAUAUAUAUUAUAAAAAUAUAACUGAUGAAGAAUCUAAUACUAUUUAAUUCAUAUCAUAAAUAUGAUUAUCUUAUCAUAUAAAUUUGAUCAAAUUUAAAAUAUUUUAACUCUCUAAAAUUCUUAAAAUGCCUUAUAAUUUAGGAUGGACGAAGUAUGUUCUAAAAAACUUGAUUUUUAUAGCAGUUCAAGGGUGCCCUGUGCAAGAAUGCGAGAUGGUGUUGCGUGCAAAAUGCAACCGAGAAGAACAGCACGGGGAAAUCACUCGGAUUAGCAGAAACAGGAUAUAAAAGAACGACGGGUAGAAACUACGUCCCGGUUCGUCCACAAGCAGGACUGCAGGAAGCGCGUCCCAAAACGGCAAAACGUGCCUAUAUGUCCCUGGCACGUGGGCCUCGGCGUCCAAGUAUGAGUGUAUGACGCACCGCACGGCGGCCGUCUCGGCGGGAACCGGGAACGGACAAAAACGGAAGGGGACACACACGGGUUCGGUUCCUUGUGCGUGCGGACGAGGGUUUGCUUGCCGGCUCGGCAAGGCGGCAGAGACUGAUGUGAUGAGAGAGGGAGCGGGACUGCGGUGUGCCUGUGCCGGUGACCCGGUGUGCGCUUGUGCCGUUCAGCGUAACAGCCUUAGUUCCAAAAAAUUUUGGAAAAUCAACACUGUAGCAUUUUCGUUUGUAUUUGAUAAAUAUUGUCCAAUCAUAAACUAACCAGGCUCAAAAGAUUCGUCUCGUCAAUUCCAACAAAACUGUGCAAUUAGUUUUUAUUUUUGUCUAUAUUUAAUACUUCAUGCAUGUGUCUAAAGAUUCGAUGUGACGGAGAAUGUAAAAAAUUUUGCAAAAUUUUCUGGAAACUAAACAAGGCCUUACCGUGUCACUGUGUCAGUUCUUGGAGCCAUGUUUCUUUCAUGGCGUCAUCGUGCAUGAUUCAGGAGGAAACACCCAAAUGGAUCACUGAUUUUAAAGUUUUUUUUAUUUUCUAAGUGAAUAUAAUAAAACUACUUUAUUUUAUAAAUUUAUAGCUACUUUAUUUUAAAUAAACCCGAACCAAAGUAUUUCUAAAAUACAAUUUAUGCUUGGGUAGUCAUUUAGAGUUAUUGGUUUUCAUUAAUUUCCAUUACUGAUAUUUUAUUGCUCAUGAUUCAUUUAAAUUAUUAUUUUGCAUUAUAUUAUACCACUAGAGUGUAGAGGUAGAAAUUCUUUGUUUAGUUCACAAAAAUUUUCAAAAUUUCUCGUCACAUCAAAUCUUCGGUCGCAUGCAUAGAGCAUUAAACAUAGACGAAAAUAAAAACUAAUUGUACAGUUUACAUGUAAUUUGUGAGAUAAAUCUUUUAAGCCUAGUUACUCCGUGAUUGGACAAUGUUUGUCAAAUAAAAACGAAAGUGCUACAGUAGCUGAAACCAAAAUUUUUGGGAACUAAACAAGGCGUUAGUUCCACCCAAAAAUCAAAAACUUUUCAAGAUUCCCUGUCACAUCGAAUCUUACGGCACAUGCAUGGAACAUUAAAUAUAGAUAAAAACAAAAACUAAUUGCACCAUUUGUCUAUAAAUCACGAGACGAAUCUUUUAAGCCUAAUUACUUCACAAUGUUUAUCAAAUAAAAACAAAAGUGCUACAGUGCACCAAAAAUUUUUGUGAAGAAACUAAACAAGGCCCUUGUUUAGUUCGCGAAAAUUUUUGGCUUUAACUACCAUAGCACUUUCGUUUGAAUUUGACAAUUAUUGUCCAAUCACAGACUAGCUAGACUUAAAAGAUUCGUCUCGCAAAUUACAGGCAAACUGUACAGUUAGUUUUUAUUUUUAUCUAUAUGUAAUGCUUUAUGUAUAUGUUCAAAGAUUCGAUAUUACGAAGAAUCUUGAAAAUUUUUAAAAACUACACCAGGCCUAAACAUGGUCGAAGCUGCCGUUGGAACUAGAGUCGCAGUCGGACCAAACUGACCCUAAAUCUCAUAACAACAUAAUGAACAAUAACUAUUCUACACUCCAUGUUCAUAUUCUCUUAUGGGAAUAUAAGCACUAACCUGCACCAAUAGGUCGGGCAGAUAAAGUAAAAUUUACCCCUAAGGAUAUAUGUCCUCACAAUGUGAACCAUAGGAUUCGCUCUGAGAUUCGUGUUCAGCAGGAGAGAGAUAAUUUUCUAUUGUCUCUCCUACUAGGUACAAAUCUUAAUGUGAAUCAUGUGUUUACAUUGUGAAGGCAUGUACCUUUAUGGGCAAAGAAACUGCGUUUGGAACCGGCAUAGCACCACCUACCUCACACAGACGAGUAAUCUAAGGCUCAAAAAAUGAUGGUUGGGAUAUAUGAUCUUUGGGAGCUUCUAGAUCAAGAGGACGCCUUCAAAUGUCCAUCAAAAGCAUUUGCGUUUUCCAUGGGACUAUCAUUACAUUCACAACCGAGCGAUGAAAUCAUUAAGAAACGCGAUUGACCCAAACUUAGACAAACAUCAAACAACAUCUGAUCCUGGCUUCUAGCCAUUCAGCGGUGUUUUCUCUUACAAUAAAUCAGCCAAUAGUACUUUCUGUCACGGAUUAUCAGCCAAACGAACAAGGUGGGUAAGUCUCAACGGAGUUUCAUAGACAUUAAAUAUGCUGAUGUGGUACCAUAUCAAUGAAGAGAGAAAUGAUAAGAGUUUCACGGGAGUAGAGAGUUUUAUAGGGAUAAAACUCUUCUAUACUAUUUCCAAAAUAUAGAUGUGUUGAAAACUAAAUUAUUUUCAAAAUAUAGAUGUGUUGAAAACUAAAUUAUGAAACCUGCAAUGACGAUGGCCUAAGAUCUUUCAGGAAUGCAGAAACCAAGGGAUUUGAUUCACGCGUAUGAUGGACACAUCGGGUUGAGGGAGUUCGGCCACAUUCUGAAGCAACGUGACCCAUGUGAAGUAGGCCCAGUCAAGACUAGCCAAAGCUGCUAAGGCCGUGAUUAGUUUCGGAUGGAAAAUAUUUCGCUACACUGUAGCACUUUCAUUUAUUUGUGGUAAUUAUUGUUCAACUAUGGACUAACUAGGCUCAAAAAAUUCGUCUUGUCAAUUUUGACCAAACUGUAUAAUUAUUUUUUAUUUUCGUCUAUAUUUAAUACUCCAUGCAUACAUCUAAAGAUUCGAUGUGACGGGAAAUCUUGAAAAAAUUUUGGAUUUUUAGAUGAAAGUAAACAAGACCUAAGCAUCACUGACUUGCUUAACCACUCCUACAAUGCCGCCUACGCCUACGCCGUGGAUGGAGGUGAGCAUUAUGUACGAGUAACACGAGAAGAGCCAUUUGGAGAUAGAGGCACUCCUACAAUGCCGCCUACGCCUACGCCGUGGAUGGAGGUGAGCAUUAUGUACGAGUAACACGAGAAGAGCCAUUUGGAGAUAGAGGUGAGGCAUUAUGUACGAGAGUAACACAGGAUGGAGACAUUUGGAGAUGGAGAUGGGAACAGAGGGAUCACCGGAUCAUCAGGAUGAUAAACGAAGACCAUAUGCUCAGCAGUCGGCAAGGUGGUAGUCGACGGAAUACAGAUCACCGCUUCAUCAGCGGAGAACGUUAGUGAACCGAAAAAUUUGCAGAUUCCCAAAGAAAUAACUAAUUAUACAGUUUACUUACAAUUUGUAAGACGAAUCUUUUAUGCCUAAUUAGUCUAUGAUUGAACAAUAUUUGUUAAAUACAAACAAAAAUCCUAGCGUGCCUAUUUUGCAAAAAAUUUUGCAACUAAAGAAGGCCUGACGCCUGAGUGCCAUCCGCAAUAAAGAGGACCGCCACAAAUCAUAGUGCACCAAUCGCUUAUUGCCACUACAAAUCGAUCCACGGUAAUCCCUUGCAAGAAAGACGAGAUCACAGUUGGAUGCAGUGACCCAAACCCAUCCACAAGAUCACAACCAACAAAAAUAUCAACAAAACGCAUUUUUCAAUGUGAAAUUGAUAGGUUGGAAUGACACCAACAGAAUGUGAGCGAAGAGCAUUAUUCAUCAACAUAGAUUCAGGAAUGAAGGCUAUUGAAGAAGCACAAAUUCGGAGUAAGGCAAAUGUCAGCAACACAAAGGCCUUGUUUAGUUCCAAAAAAUUUUGCAAAAUCGACACUGUAGCACUGUCGUUUGUAUUUAACAAAAAAUAUCCAAUCAUAGACUAACUAAGCUCAAAAGAUUCGCCUCGUCAAUUUCGACCAAACUGUGCAAUUAGUUUUUAUUUUCAUCUAUAUUUAAUACUUCAUGCAUGCAUCUAAAGAUUCAAUGUGACGGGAAAUCUGAAAAAUUUUGCAAAAUUUUUUGGGAACUAAACAAGGCCAAAACAACCAACAAAAGAACUAUGCAGUAAGGCCUUGUUUACUUCCCAUAAAAAUUUGCAAAAUUUUUCACAUUCCCCGUCACAUCGAAUCUUUAGACGCAUGCAUGGAGUAUUAAAUAUAGACGAAAAUAAAAACUAAUUGCACAGUUUGGUCGAAAUUGACGAGACGAAUCUUUUGAGUCUAGUUAGUCCAUGAUUGGACAAUAUUUGUCAAAUACAAACGGAAGUGCUACAGUGUCCAUUUCCCAAAAUUUUUCGGAACUAAACAAGGCCUAAGACAAAUGAAACAAUCAUUAUGCAACAUGGAGAGUAACCUAUGGGAAAUGCAAUAUACAGACUCAGGACCUAAAGAAAUACACCUGAGGCUUACUUCGUUUGUCAUGCUGACUACAAAGCAUGGUCUAGCUUAAAAGAGCAUGUGACAGUACAAUGCAAACAAGUUUAUAACUUACUACUUCCAGAAAAAAAAGCCUACACAAAUCACAUCACGUGACAACAAUCAUAGCAUCAAUACGAUUUUUUGUAGAAGCCAUAUAUCUAAAACAUUUCAUAUGACCAUGUCUCGCCACAGAGCAGGGGCUUCAUCACUUACAAACGAGAGAAAAUCUCCAGCAUUACCAAAAUGCAACACAGUAAGGGUAAAAUGUGAUGUUGUACUUGCUACCAUACAUAUGGGCAUAAAAGUAUCUCAUGCAACAGUAUAUUACCUGUGAAAUUAAUCAAGGCACACUACAUUUACAAAGCCUAAGGCUACAAGCAUCACUAAAACUAAGACUUUGAAGCCAUGAAAAUAUAAGUAGCACGCGAAACACAGAUAAUUGCAUCGAGUUAAUAAGCCUACAAUGAACAGAGAACAAUCUAUGGCACAAGGUUCAACAACACAAAAUUUCACAUCAUUUCUAACAAUCUUGUGACGCAAACAGUUACGAAUUUCACAACACCGAAGAUUGCACAUGCAUCAUAAAUCAAUUGCACAGUUGAAAGUAGAACAAUUAGCACAGAUAGCUUUAAUAUAUCUGAAAUAUUUGAUAUGAACUGGCAUCAAAAUCCUCAUAAAGCACUGUCCCAACAGGCAGCAGCCACAGAUUUAAAAACUACAGGUCUUCUUAACACAAAUAGCUGAGACAGGAAAGCACUACUAGUUCAGAUAUAGAUCUCAAAACCAAGAGGCGAACAAGGACUGAAACCUAGGCGGUGAGCACGACGGCGCCGCCGGCGGCCUUGAUCUUCUUCUCGGCGACCUUGGAGAUGAGCUUGGCCUUGACCACGAUGGGCUU